rnacentral:rRNA from 1 species
CAGUCGCCACGGGAAUACAGAGGGUGCGAGCGUUAAUCGGAUUUACUGGGCGUAAAGCGUGCGUAGGCGGCUAAUUGAGUCGGAUGUGAAAUCCCCGAGCUUAACUUGGGAAUUGCAUUCGAUACUGGUUAGCUAGAGUGUGGGAGAGGAUGGUAGAAUUCCAGGUGUAGCGGUGAAAUGCGUAGAGAUCUGGAGGAAUACCGAUGGCGAAGGCAGCCAUCUGGCCUAACACUGACGCUGAGGUACGAAAGCAUGGGGAGCAAACAGGAUUAGAUACCCGCGUAGUCCCUGUCUCUUUACA